GGUUCUGCUCCAUCAUCCUGGGCUCCCACCCAUUCGGAUGUCACCAUCCCACAUUCAGCGAGACGAUGCAGCUGGGUCAUCAUUGUCAGACAGAGAGAAAUGCAGCUUGUAAUAGCUCGAUAAGGUUAUUUGCGGUUGGUUAAUACCAAUGCAGACAAUACUACGGGGACCUUCUGAAAAGAAAAUGAAACUCAAGCUGUGGAAGGCAGGGAGGAUUAUCUGCAGGAUUUGCCCACAGCAGAACCCAACCUACUUCUGUGAUAGGACACAUAAGAUCUUACAAGGCAAGUGGUGCCGGCUAGCCAGAUGAAC
rnacentral:lncRNA from 1 species